ensembl:lncRNA
GAAAUGUCGCAAAAAAGCGGUGAUCAUCUGAACUUCGGAACAAACACUGCUGAUGGGACUUAAUGAAAAAUGUAAAGGAGUCAUCACCAAAGAGGGCAAUACUGCCGCAAUUGACAAGAUGUGCACCUUUCAUCCAAAUCCAAUUACUACUAUUCUUCCUGACAGUUUGUGGACAGAUGCCCCCAGUAGAUGCCUGUAUGUUUAGGCUAUGAUACUCAUCAGGGAAGCUCAGUGAAGAACUUCUGUCUCUGAAGACCCUUGGGGCUGGUGGUGUAAACGCUUUGUGGAGAAUCUGAGCACAUUCAUCCACAGGGUUGUUGAGGAAUGAACAUGCCAUAUUUGGUUGCAACUGGCUGGUCUUUAGAUGCACUGCUUAUAUAGUCUGAAUCUCAAAUCGCGUGCUUGUAUACUAUAUAGUAUGUGAGAAGAUUAGUAUGUCUCAAACCAUUGUACGGUGAAAAUAGUACGCCAAAUGUUCCCGGAUGAUUUGAAGUAUGCAUCCAUGCAUGCUUUUUGGGGUAAUUUAUGCUUAUACUACAUUAU